GACGAACGCUGGCGGCGUGCUUAACACAUGCAAGUCGAACGAUGAAUCUGGAGCUUGCUCCGGUGGAUUAGUGGCGAACGGGUGAGUAACACGUGAGCAAUCUGCCCUUCACUCUGGGAUAACUGCGGGAAACUGUAGCUAAUACCGGAUACGAGACCUUGGGGCAUCCCAGGGUCUGGAAAGAAUUUCGGUGAAGGAUGAGCUCGCGGCCUAUCAGCUAGUUGGUGAGGUAAUGGCUCACCAAGGCGACGACGGGUAGCCGGCCUGAGGGGGAGACCGGCCAAACUGGGGCAGAGACACGGCCCAGACUCCUAAGGGAGGCAGCGGUGGGGAAUAUUGCACAAUGGGCGAGAGCCUGAUGCAGGUACGCCGCGUGAGGGAUGAAGGCCUUCGGGUUGUAAACCUCUUUUAGUAGGGAAGAAGCGCAAGUGACGGUACCUACAGAAAAAGCACCGGCUAACUACGUGCCAGCCGCCGCAGUAA
rnacentral:rRNA from 1 species